GGGUUGAACUUCCUGGGUCAGACGCUAUUGCCUGCAUUGUGGUCUGGGAGCCCAGACUGAGCAGCUGCUGCUCCCCCGGUGGGGUCUGGGCUCGGGAGUGACUUGGAGUGAAGCUUCCUCUGUGCCCAGGCAAGGCCUAGAGAUUGGAAGCAAUCGAUGGUGAGUUGUGUGAAGCGGAGGGCUUCGUCGAACGUGGAGGCCUUGAGAAGGCAAUCGUCAAGGGUUUCCAGUUUCCAAACCUGAUGUGAUGUCACAUCUGGAACGAGAGGAAGAGUUGUGGAUCCCAGACCUCCAGGGCUCUGAGAAAGAAGUGCUCCCAAGAGGUGCCUGCACAGGGAGUGACCUACGUCUGGAUUCUCUCUGUCACCCA